rnacentral:lncRNA from 1 species
UCCAGCGUUGGAAGAAGCCGCCGAUGGCAGAUCUUAUUUAGCUAGUAUUAUUGCUGAUUGUUUCAUGUUAUCUCGUUUUUUUUAUUAUGUUGACUUGUCUUUUGUUCGCCGGGGGGGCAAUUCUGUUGCCGAUUACCUAGCUGGUAAUGCUUCCAAUUACUCUGACAUGGUUUGGUUGGAAGAGGUUCCAGUUGAGGUUAUUGAUUUGGUUCAUGCUGAUGUAAUGGCUUCUAUGCCUACUUUUGCUUAAUAUAUUUGCAGUUUCCAUUCAAA